rnacentral:lncRNA from 10 species
GACGAGGAGGCGCAGCGAACGCAGAUAAAGAAUCCGAGGCGCAGAGAGGUGGCACUGCUGGAAGGAACAGAGCCAGAUCCACAAGAUCCUUCAUUCCGACAAUAAAUAUUCACUGAAGAUCUGCCACAUGUCAGGCCCCAGCCCAGAUCAGGAAAUUGAGGUCCAGUGAGGUGUCUUGGCCAGGACACUCAGUCAGGACGUGACAUGAACACAGGACUGUCUGACUUCAAAUCCAGUGCUCCUUCCCCUGCAGUCCCCACCCCACUGACUGGGGGACAGUGCUCCAGGCAGCUGGAAUGGGACACGGUUUGUGUGGCAGCGAGAUAUCCAGGCUCUCCUCCUUCCAGAUCUAAGGAUUCAAACCCAGGUCUGCUUGACUAGGAAGGCCGGCCCUCUCCAUGGUGCCAGGACAACUCUUUGGAGAAGAUGCCCCUCUCUCUGCCUGCCUGAAUCUUCUCCGUCCACAAAGGCCUGCUCCAUCCUCCCUCCUCCAGGAAGCUUUCCCUGACUGUCCCCGGGCCCAGCCAGGGUGUCUGGGGGGCUGGAGAGACCCACAGAGCCCUGAUCACCGUGGCUGGCCCGUAAGUGUGGCGACUGAGUCCCAGUCUGGAGGCACAGCUGGACUUUCCCAGAGAGAACUGAGGCAUUGUGGGAAUUUCCCAGCUGUGACCCCAGGACCCUGAUUGCCCAGAAUGGCUCCAAGUUCACAUAUCUAGGGACCGUCACCAAGACUCCUGUAUCUAUAUUAAACUCGGUAAAUGUGAUGACCCUGGAAAUGUGCCCUCAGCAUCACAACCGCACUCUUGGCCCCUCCAGAAUUCAGAGCCACUUUGGGAGUCCACC